GCCGGCCUCGACCCCGAGCUCCGAGACCCGCGGGCAGAGCACGCCGCCGACCCCACCCAUCCGGGCCGAGGAGACCGCAGCAAUGGCCGAGAGGGAGGAGCUGAGCCUAGACAACUUCUUUGCCAAGAGGGACAAGAAAAAGAAGAAGGAGCGGAGCAGCCAGGCGGCGAGAUCCGCGGGCGCAGCAGGGAGCUCCGGCGGGAGCAGCGGAGCCGCGGGCGAGGCGGGUGCGGGGCCCCGGUCGGGAGACGGCGGGACCGGGAGCGCCGGGCGCGAGCGCUGGGGCCGCGGGCCCAGGGGCGGCCACCAAGGCUGUGACGAAGGAAGAAGAUGAAUGGAAAGAAUUUGAGCAAAAAGAGGUUGAUUACAGUGGCCUCAGAGUUCAGGCAAUGCAAAUAAGUGAAAAAGAAGAAGAUGAUAAUGAAAAGAGAGAAGAUCCAGGUGAUAAUUGGGAAGAAGGUGGAGGAGGUGGUGGUGGUAUGGAGAAAUCUUCAGGUCCCUGGAAUAAAACUGCUCCGGUUCAGGCACCUCCUGCUCCAGUAAUUGUUACAGAAACCCCAGAACCGGCAAUGACUAGUGGGUGUAUAGGCCUCCUGGGGCCAGGUUAACCACAACAAGAAAAACACCACAAGGAUCACCAGAAAUAUACAGCGAUACGCAGUUCCCAUCCCUGCAGUCAACUGCCAAGCAUGUAGAAAGCCGGAAGGAUAAAGAAAUGGAGAAGAGCUUUGAAGUAGUAAGACACAAAAAUAGAGGUAGGGAUGAGGUUUCGAAAAACCAGGCACUUAAACUUCAGCUAGACAACCAGUAUGCUGUGCUUGAAAAUCAGAAAAGCAGCCACACACAGUACAAUUAAGGAAUGGUCUUUGCUAACCCUUCUAAGGUGUCUAGACCACAGCUCUCUACCAUGAACAGCCAUUCAUCAUCUGAUCUCUGCUGGAUCCACAGCACCUGAUGCAGACCACUUGAUUUAAGUGACCAGCUCUGUUGCACUAUGGAAGUUUAAAGUGUCAGAACUGCUCUUUAUGUAUAUUGGAUUUAGGGGAAUUUUCAUUGUUAUAUAAAUGUGUGAACUAGAUUCUUCCACAGUGUUCUUUCAUAAUUACUCUGCAAAUACAAAAAACCAAAACCUGCA